rnacentral:rRNA from 1 species
AGCGAACGCUGGCGGCAGGCCUAACACAUGCAAGUCGAACGAACCUUUCGGGGUUAGUGGCGGACGGGUGAGUAACACGUGGGAACGUGCCUUUAGGCUCGGAAUAACUCAGGGAAACUUGUGCUAAUACCGAAUGUGCCCUUCGGGGGAAAGAUUAAUCGCCUUUAGAGCGGCCCGCGUCUGAUUAGCUAGUUGGUUGAGGUAAUGGCUCACCAAGGCGACGAUCAGUAGCUGGUCUGAGAGGAUGAUCAGACACAUUGGGACUGAGACACGGCCCAAACUCCUACGGGAGGCAGCAGUGGGGAAUCUUGCGCAAUGGGCGAAAGCAUGACGCAGCCAUGCCGCGUGAAUGAUGAAGGUCUUAGGAUUGUAAAAUUCUUUCACCGGGGACGAUAAUGACGGUACCCGGAGAAGAAGCCCCGGCUAACUUCGUG